rnacentral:pre_miRNA from 1 species
AAAAAAAGACAUCCUGUAUUUUUGUGUCCAACGUUUGACCGUCUGUCUUAUAUGAAAUUUUUUUAUAAUUAGUAUUUUCAUUGUUGUUAGAUGAUAAAACAUGAUUAAUAUUUUAUACGUGACUUGUCUUUUUAUUUUUUUCAUAUUUUUUUCAAAUAAAAUGGACGAUCAAACAUUGGACACGGAAAUCUAGGGUU